rnacentral:rRNA from 1 species
GUUAAGCGACUAAGCGUACACGGUGGAUGCCCUGGCAGUCAGAGGCGAUGAAGGACGUGCUAAUCUGCGAUAAGCGUCGGUAAGGUGAUAUGAACCGUUAUAACCGGCGAUUUCCGAAUGGGGAAACCCAGUGUGUUUCGACACACUAUCAUUAACUGAAUCCAUAGGUUAAUGAGGCGAACCGGGGGAACUGAAACAUCUAAGUACCCCGAGGAAAAGAAAUCAACCGAGAUUCCCCCAGUAGCGGCGAGCGAACGGGGAGCAGCCCAGAGCCUGAAUCAGUGUGUGUGUUAGUGGAAGCGUCUGGAAAGGCGCGCGAUACAGGGUGACAGC